rnacentral:piRNA from 1 species
UCCGAGAAGAGUCCAGGGAGCCCCAGAGAG